GAGACGACGCUGGCGGCGUGGAUUAGGCAUGCAAGUCGGACGGUAGGGCUUUAUCGUAAGAUAGAGUUUGAGAGUGGCGAACGGGUGAGUAACACGUAGGAAUCUACCCUUAAGGACGGGGACAACCCAGGGAAACUUGGGCUAAUACCGGAUGAGAGUGCGAGAGAUUGCAUUUAAAAGGAUGGCGAAAGUUGUCGCUUAGGGAUGAGCCUGCGGUCUAUUAGUUAGUUGGUGAGGUAAGAGCUCACCAAGGCGAUGAUAGAUAGGCGGCCUUAACGGGUGGUCGCCCACACUGGGAUUGAGAUACGGCCCAGACUCCUACGGGAGGCAGCAGUCGAGAAUAGUCUACAAUGGCCGGAAGGCUGAUAGUGCGACGCCGCGUGAACGAGGGAGCCCUUCGGGGUGUAAAGUUCUUUUAUACGUGAGCAGUGCCCUUUAUAUGAAUAGUAUAGAGGGAGGGAUUUAAGCGUAUGAAUAAGCAACGGCUAACUCCGUG
rnacentral:rRNA from 1 species